AAACACUAUAUCUGCUCUUUGUGGUUCCCGUCAGCAUUACUUUCAGUGUUACAGUGACAAGGCAUUUGUCUUCUGUCUCUGUGUCAGUUAGGGACUGUUUCUCCAGAGGCCUUUCUUUGAAAGGGAAAAAUAUGCAGCCCAAGAACAGCCAAGUGAUUUCUUCCUACGGCAAGUUGAAAGUGUCAUCUGCUUUCUGUCAUUGAAUUAAUCGACAGCGAAGCAAGCUGCUGUUCUAGUUGGCAUGAUGAAUACUGGUAUGAACAAGAUGGUUUUUUUGCUACAGUUUCAUACAAUGCAAUAUUUAUGUCAAUGAUGUCAAAAGUUGUUCAGGGCUGGCAAGGCAACUCAGUGGAUAAAAGUGCUCUCCAUCAGCUAUAAGGAUAUGUGUUGGUUCUCCAGUAUUCACAUGUAGAAAGGUGAUAACUGCCUCUGACCCAUACAGGCUUACUGCUAAAUAAGCUCACCCUCUCUUUGAACUCUGAACUCUGGCUGACUAGUUCACUGCUGUUCUGGCUGAAACUCCUUUCCAGGCUAACUGAUUCAAUCUGGCUUCUCUCAUAUUCUAACCGAAUUGCUCUGCUUGGCCUCAAAAUACCUCUGGUAUUUAGUGCUAAUCUUCUGGCUCCUUCAUAUUCACUGGGUUCAACUGCCUCUACUGACCUGUACUGAACUGAGUGAGGGGACAGUUAUCUCAACACCACUGUGCUGCACUCUCUUCACUGACUCCUAUCUUUUUUCUCACUCCCUGUGCUGCUCUUAAAUACUUUGUCUUGACUGUGCUGCUGCCAUGAGAGAUAGCAUAGAUGGCAUAGCCUAUCUCUGACUCAUUUCGUCAAAUCUUUCUCUGAUUUGUCACUAUCUAUCCCUAAAUUCAACAUCAUUGUUUGGCAUUAAAGGUGGGUAUUAAGGGCAUGUCUGUAGCCCAGCCAGAGGAAAAUAAAGGUGUUUCGUGUGUCUGUAUUUCAUCCAUAUCACACAUACCUUGGACGUGAUUUGAGGAGCCAUGUUGCCAGAUUAAAUUUCCUCUAUAAUUAUUUGAAGAACAUUUAACUAAUUAAAAUUUACUGAAAG